GACGAACGCUGGCGGCGUGCCUAAUACAUGCAAGUAGAACGAGUUGCGAACGGGUGAGUAACGCGUGGUAACCUGCCUCAUAGCGGGGGAUAACUAUUGGAAACGAUAGCUAAUACCGCAUACCAUCGGAUGUGCCCAGAUGGGAUUAGCUAGGAGGUGGGGUAACGGCUCACCUGGGCGACGAUCCCUAGCUGGUCGGAGAGGAUGACCAUCCACCCUGGAACUGACACACGGUCCAGACCCCUACGGUUGGUCGCAGUGGUGAACACUGGCCCAGGGGAGCAGCCCAGACGCAGCCAUGACGCGUGUAGGAAGAGGGCCUUCGGGUAGUAAAGUAUUUUCCGCGAGGAGGCGUUAUUCGCAGAAGAAGCCACGGCUAACUCCGUGCCAGCAGCCGCGGUAAUUC
rnacentral:rRNA from 1 species